rnacentral:rRNA from 1 species
GACGAACGCUGGCGGCGUGCUUAACACAUGCAAGUCGAACGGUGAAGGGGCCUGCUUUUGUGGGCCCUGGAUGAGUGGCGAACGGGUGAGUAACACGUGAGUAACCUGCCCCCUUCUUCUGGAUAACCGCAUGAAAGUGUGGCUAAUACGGGAUAUUCUGGGUCUGUCGCAUGAUGGGUCUGGGAAAGAUUGCGCCUUUGGGUGUUUUUGGUGGGGGAUGGGCUCGCGGCCUAUCAGCUUAUUGGUGGGGUGAUGGCCUACCAAGGCGGUGACGGGUAGCCGGCCUGAGAGGGUGGACGGUCACACUGGGACUGAGACACGGCCCAGACUCCUACGGGAGGCAGCAGUGGGGAAUAUUGCACAAUGGGCGCAAGCCUGAUGCAGCGACGCCGCGUGAGGGAGGGAGGCCUUCGGGGUGUAAACCUCUUUCGCCAGUGAAGCAGGCCUGCUCCUUGUGGGUGGGUUGACGGUAGCUGGAUAAGAAGCGCCGGCUAACUACGUG